GCCUAAUGAUGGAAAACUCAUUUUUGGAGCGGUUCUGUGGAUUAUUGUUAGGAGCCUUUUCUAUCAUUUUUGCUUACUAGCCAUUAUCAUCAUCAUAAACACCAUCCUCUAUCUAUCCAUCUCUCUCUCUCUCUCUCUCUCUCUCUCUCUCUCUCUCUCUCUCUCUCUCUCUCGCUCUCUCUCUCUCUCUCCCUCCCUCCCUCCCCCCUGGCUUGUAGUGUUGAAGAUGUGAAGAGGCUCAUAGUGAUUAUCCAGUGGUUAACUGUCAAUGACCAGACAUAGCUAUGAGAUCUGAAGGCUUGCCCAGAAACAUUUGUUUCUUUUAAGAUAUGUUUAUUGAAUCUUAAAUCAUUUUUGUUCCUUAGUUAUUCUAUGGUUGUAUUUUCUUGGUUUCCACAUAUUUAUUAUGCUCCUCCUUUAUUAUGUCCUUUAUUUACCAUUGCUUCGAAGUUGCGACUGCAUUUCAUUGUAGUAGUGAUGCUGUGUUGACGAUCAGAUCUACUCUUUUGUCUAUUCUGUGCGUCUGCAUGAUAUAACUGCAUAUGCCCACUCGUUUUUGUUUAUUGUUUUUAACCAUGUUUUCUAGUGUAUCUAUUUUGCUGCCUCAGGAAGAUGGUUCAAUGUUUAUUAGCCUAAUGAUGGAAAACUCAUUUUUGGAGCGGUUCUGUGGAUUAUUGUUAGGAGCCUUUUCUAUCAUUUUUGCUGUACUAGCCAUUAUCAUCAUCAUAAACACCAUCCUCUCUCUCUGUCUCUCUGUCUCUCUGUCUCUCUCUCUCACUCUCUCUCUGUCUCUCUCUCUCUCUCUGUGGCUUGUACGGUUGGAGAUGUGAAGAGGCUCGUAGUGAUAAUCCAGUGGUUAACCGUCAAUGACCAGAUAUAGCUAUGAGAUCUGAAGGCUUGCCCAGAGACAUUUGUUCCUUUUAAGAUAUGGUUAUUGAAUCUUAAAUCAUUUUUGUUCCUCAGUUAUUCUAUGGUUGUAUUUUCUUGGUUUCCACAUUUUUUACACUCCUCCUUUAUUAUGUCCUUUAUUUACCAUUGCAUCAAAGUUGCGACUGCGUUUUGUUGUAGUAGUGAUGCUGUGUUAACGAUCAGAUCUACUCUUUUGUCUAUUCUGUGUCUCCAUGAUAUAACUGUAGAUGCCCACUCGUUUUUGUUUUUUUUAAACUGUGUUUUCUAGUGUAGCUAUUUUGCUGCCUCAGGACGAUGGUUCAAUUUUUAUUAGCCUAAUGAUGGAAAACUCAUUUUUGGAGCGGUUCUGUGGAUUAUUGUUAGGAGCCUUUUCUAUCAUUUUUGCUUACUAGCCAUUAUCAUCAUCAUAAACACCAUCCUCUAUCUAUCCAUCUCUCUCUCUCUCUCUCUCUCUCUCUCUCUCUCUCUCUCUCGCGCGGGCGUGUAGAGAUGAAGAUAAAAAGAGGCUCAUAGUGAUAAUCCAGUGGUUAAAUGUCAAUGAAUAUAUAUAGCUAUGAGAUCUGAAGGCUUGUCUAUAGACAUUUUUUGUCCUUCUAAGAUAUGCUUAUUAAAUUGUAAAUCACUUUUCGUCCUUAGUUAUUCUAUGGUGUUUUAUCUUCAUUUCUACAUAUCUAUUACGCUCCUCUUUAUUAUGCCCCUUAUUGACCAUUAUAUGGAAUUUGUGACUGCAUUUCGUUUUAAACAUUUGCACUGAAUAAUAUGUAUUUCCCAUGUGGUGCAAAUAUCCUUCCCAAGGUGCCCUUGAAACGCUGAUAAAAUUAAUGUGAUGGAACUUCAGUCAACUGCAAAUAGUAGAGCGUCCUGGAAUGUGGUUAUUUUGACAUUGUCAAUGGCACAGUUAAGAGUUUCAAUUGGUUUGUUUUUCUUUUGGUUUGGUGUGACUAUUUGGCAACUAUUGUAUGAAAUUUUGUUUGCUAGUGCUAGUUUAGAUAUUUAAGGUGUAUGGCUAACUGUAUGAGAUUCCAUAGAUUAAAUUGUGUUUGAUGGUAGAUUCCAUUUUAGUACUCCAUUGAUCUGAUCUUUGUUGGAAUUCAAAUAAAAGGUGAAGUUAUUAUUGUAGGUUUGAGCAUAUGAGACUUUAAAAAACAACGCUGUACUAAUGAUCAGAUCUAGUGUCUUUUGUUUAUUCUGUGCCUUUCCACGUUCUACUUGUGGUUGUCUGAGUUUAUAUUUCUUGCCUUUUUUAUUUUUUGGGAUUACCUUGUAAUGUAAUCUAACAAAUUUGCUGCCUCAGAAAAUUGGUGCAAUUUUUUAUUAGCCUGGUGAUGGAAACCUCUUUUUUUUGUUAUGAUUUUUAUAGCACUUUAUAUUAUAAGACUGCAGGUACCUGAAUAGUUUUUUGUAACACAGUUUCUUAUUACUUUCAAUGAGCUUUAAAAUUUAAAUCUGGUUUUCAUUUGUGAAGUACAGAACAGUUAUGAACUGUUUGAGUACCUUUGAGCUUACUUGAUGUCUCAAUUUUCUUACUAGAUAUAUUUAUAUAAACUAAAAUCUUUAGAAUAUUUAAGAAUAUAUAUUAAUUUAUAAUUUAUAUAUUAAUUAUUUAAUUGAAAUGUAAUUUAAUGGUGUCAGGCAUUUGAUGUCAAGUUGGUUCAAAAUCCGCCAAUGUCUAUGACCAUGGUUUGUAUUAUGGCUUGUUGUGUAUAAUGGCAUAGUUUUUAAGUGGAUUUUAAAAUUUUCUUUUCCGUGGUCUGGGUUAAUUGCUAAGUGGGACUUUGGUGAACAAUGAUACAUGCAUUGGGCUUGGAGCAGUUUAUGACUGCAGCCAUUGAUGGAAAUGCAACCUAGAAAGCUAUAUAUGACCCCUGUAGAAAUCCUUGCAUUCCUGUGAUACGGGUGUUGCAAUGUUAGGAUGAAAUUUUUAUCUGCUAGUUGUAGGGGUAUGGCUGACUGCAAGAGAUUCCAUACAAGUAAAUUGUGUUUAUCUGGUAUAUUUUCAAAUUGGGUGUUCAGGACAUGGUGUUGAUUGAAAAUCUACUCAUGCUCAUGGCUACGGUCGUAUUUGUGGCGAGUAAUUUAUAGUGAAUUGGUAUUAAAAUCGAGUGAUGUACAUGCAUGCACUGAGCUCCGAGCUGUGGUUAUUGAUGGAAAUGCAGGCAGCUUAGAAAACUAUAUAUGAGCCUCCAUGAAAUCCUUUUGCUUUUCUGUUCGCAGGUGUUGGAUUUAAAAUGAAAUUUCUGUUUGGGCUAGAUUGGAUUCUUAAGGUAUGGAUUGGACUUUGUAGUAUUAAACUGUGUAUGGAAGUGGAUUUUGUGUGAUUACAAUCAUUGGAUCAGUUGCACUCCUUUGGCCUGAUGAUGGAAAACUCAUUUCUGGGAGCGGUACUAUGGAUUAUUAUAAGUAUGAGCCUUUUCUAUCAUUCUUUCCAUGCUAGUCCUCAUCAUCAUCAUCAUCAUCAUCAUCAUCACCACCACUCUCUUUCUCUCUCUCUCUCUCUCUCUCUCUCUCUCUCUCUCUCUGUGGCAUGCAUGGCCGAAGAUGUGAAGAGGCUCAUACUGAUAAUCCAGCAGCUAACCGUCGAUGACCAGAUAUAGCUAUGAGAUCUGAAGGCUUA
rnacentral:lncRNA from 1 species